ensembl:lncRNA
AAUGUCUGUUUUUUAUGUUGGGGACAGCGUAAUCCAGGUGUACUUAAUGAACAGAUUGAAUGUGAUGACAGAAAGUGAUCAUUAGCAUGCUAAUUGCGGCUGAUUUUCACAUUUGCUGAUUCUGAGGUAUUAGAUCUACUGUAGAAGUGUUGCUAGUGAGAGGCAGCAAAGUGCCUGGAUUUGAACUGUGGAAAUAGGGCUGUCUGAGCUGAGGUGUUAUGUUUCUGUCUCUCUCUGUCUGCAGGUGCCUGUUGAGAGUCAGCGCCCCCUGCAGGCCAGGCUGACGCGCAGCAACAGUGUGCAGGAGAUGUUAAGUUCUUGCAAAACCAAACUGUUCAGACAGAGCAGCCUUCAACAACAAAGGGACCUGGAGCAUGGAUUGAAUGAACAGAGGGAUCUAACUAAAGCUAUUGCAAUUCAAGGCAGCAGAGCCCAAACACAGAGCCAGAGCACAGAUGAACAUGCAGGCCCGUCACCAGCAAAUGAAGACAAAAAACAGGAAGUAGAGUUAGCAGUCCACAGGAAGUGGACACACCUCUGCAGCAGAUUGACCAAGACAGCAGAGACAGAGCAAGGUGGAGAUAAAGAUCAGGAUCCAUCUGAGGUCUGAACACUCCUGAUUUUCUCCAAAUGUUUAUUUAAAGUUUCUGUUUGCUAAUGUUUAAUGUGUAGUCAUUUUAAUGUGGGAUUUAUUUUAAGUAAAGAACAUUGUGAUAUUUGUGUGUGUGUGUGAACAGAUCCUCGCUCCAUCUGUGUGUUUGUGGAGUGGAGCUGCUGUUUCUUUCUGUCUCCAGGAGAUUCAAUCCAACAUCUCACAACUCAAAGAACUGCAAAACUCAGCAGUAACAAAGGUGUCAGUAACAAACACACAUAACACACAGGAUUACUGUUCAUAACAUUUUAAAAAGAUACGUAGCAUUACAUAUACUCUCUUUUCAAGAUCAGAGUACACAUUCAGUCAAUACUGUCCAACUCGAUAACAAAUAUAUUUAACUGAACUUUCUGUGUGCAGGAUCAUCAAUCUCUGGAUGAAGGUCUAUUUGAGGUGUUGAGUGGAGUGGAUCACACUCUCAGCUCGCUCACACACACUCUUAGGUUUCAGCUAGCAACCCUAAAUACUGACAUAUCAAACCAAUUAGAGCAGCUACAGGUAUUUAGCCAUCCAUCAGACCAUCAGUUUGUUACUUCAUUUAUCCAUUACUCUUCAUUUCUUCUCUGAUUUAUAGGGUUUAUCUGCAGAGCUGAUCUCCUUGGGUGCCAUAUUGACCUCCCAUGGGUCAGAGGUCAUAAAGUUGUUAGGUUUGGGUUCAGCGAUAUCAGAGACCUCCACUUGUUUUGACCUGCUGAGGCAGUAUGUAUGUGACGUACAAAAGACUCUCGCUGAUAAACAGGAGCAGCUACAGGAACGAUUAAAACACACGACUCAGCUGCAGGUCAGCUUUUUAUUAGCUUAUUACCAACACAAAGUGAUGAGAUGCAUGUGCAGUCACUUAAAAAUUUUCCUGCAGUUUAAGUUACUAGAAACAUGGUUCAGAAAAUUUGUGCUUAUGUGUUUACAGUGUUAUGUGUCAGCAGCAGUUACAUUUUUGCAGGUUUUAACACCCCAAACCUUCAGAUGUCUCGCCUUCAUAACUGUCACAAAUACUCACACUUGUUUGUUAUGAAACAACUUGUCAUCAUAAUGUCAGACAUAAUGUUCUCUUCAGUCCCAUGUUUAAUCCCAUAAUUCUAUCUCUGCAUUUAAGAUAUUUAUACUCUUUUGUACUUUUAUUUUGACCUUUUUUAUCAAGCAUGACUCAUUUGUAAUAUUUCCUUGUGUGUCGAACCCUGCAGAAGAGAGUGAAAGACCUGCAUGACUCAGUACUAACUAAUACGUCAGUCCUUCACCUUACAACUAAUGGAGAAACCCACUAUGACCUUCACACACAGCUGCAGGUAAGCACACGAGCCUGUGAAUAUCACAGCUUGUAACACAUCAGGAUGAGUGUGUGAAGAUUAAACACUACUGGAGAAAUAAUACUCUUUAACAUAUCUGCAAGAAAAAAUUCUGAUGUCUUCCGUGUACAUAUGCUGACUUCGGUGCCACUUCACCUCUCUGCAUUUUAUAAGUUAUGUUUCCUAUGAAAGCCACUCAAAAUGCUAGCCAGGGUUUCUUGCACCAGAAAUAGUUUUUCUUAUUAGUUUUGAUCCACUCAUUUGAUUGAAAAAGCAUCAUUUGUUACUGCAGAUAUGUUGUAUAAUAGCAUUAGGUGUUCACUGUGCCUAAAUUCGAAGAUUUUGACCUUUCUGUAUUUGUGAUUCCACACGAAGGCCAUCACUGGAUGGAAACAGGAAGUGGAGCAGAGUGAGAGAAAUUUGGCAGAACUUAAAGAAGAGAUAGAGAAUCGAGAUCAGCCCUCAUCCCUCACACAGCAGAUCAGCACACUGGAGGUAUGGAUGUGCAGCAUUCAGAAUUUAUUAUAAUAACAAUUCAUUUCCUGUCGCCAAGUAUGGGACACAAUUGUAAUUAAAGUCAGAAUUUACUCAAUAUAAUAAAAUAAAUAUUAAAUUGUAAUAUACGGUAAUA